rnacentral:rRNA from 1 species
GAUGAACGCUGGCGGCGUGCUUAACACAUGCAAGUCGAACGGAAAGGCCCAAGCUUGCUUGGGUACUCGAGUGGCGAACGGGUGAGUAACACGUGGGUGAUCUGCCCUGCACUUCGGGAUAAGCCUGGGAAACUGGGUCUAAUACCGGAUAGGACCACAUUUUGGAUGGUGUGGUGGAAAGUUUUUCGGUGUGGGAUGAGCUCGCGGCCUAUCAGCUUGUUGGUGGGGUAAUGGCCUACCAAGGCGUCGACGGGUAGCCGGCCUGAGAGGGUGUACGGCCACAUUGGGACUGAGAUACGGCCCAGACUCCUACGGGAGGCAGCAGUGGGGAAUAUUGCACAAUGGGCGCAAGCCUGAUGCAGCGACGCCGCGUGGGGGAUGACGGCCUUCGGGUUGUAAACUCCUUUCGCUAGGGACGAAGCGCAAGUGACGGUACCUGGAGAAGAAGCACCGGCUAGCUACGUG